AAAAGAACGCGUGCAAAAACCAUAAUCGACCUUCGUCGAUUUUUUUAUUUCAAAAUUAAAGAAACGGCUUGAGAUAUUCCGAGCAAUUAUAAAAAUUAAUUUGUCUUGAAUAUUGCUACUACAUUCUUGAAAAAGUGAUGUAGAUUUAUAGCCCAUAACUUUUUUUGAAUUACAUCGACGAUACGGCGUCGAAAGAAAAAUAAAUAGACCGUAUGAAAGAAAAAG
rnacentral:ncRNA from 23 species